AACGAACGCUGGCGGCAGGCUUAACACAUGCAAGUCGAGCGCCCCGCAAGGGGAGCGGCAGACGGGUGAGUAACGCGUGGGAAUCUACCCAGUUCUACGGAACAACUGAGGGAAACUUCAGCUAAUACCGUAUACGCCCUAAGGGGGAAAGAUUUAUCGGAAUUGGAUGAGCCCGCGUUGGAUUAGCUAGUUGGUGGGGU
rnacentral:rRNA from 1 species